CAGUAGCCGCGGGAAAACGUAGGUGGCAAGCGUUGUCCGGAAUUAUUGGGCGUAAAGGGUGCGUAGGCGGUUUCGUAAGUCUUAUGUGAAAUCUAUGGGCUCAACCCAUAGUCUGCAUGGGAAACUGCGAGGCUUGAGGAUGGGAGAGGUGAGUGGAAUUUCCGGUGUAGCGGUGAAAUGCGUAGAUAUCGGAAGGAACACCUGUGGCGAAAGCGGCUCACUGGACCAUUUCUGACGCUGAUGCACGAAAGCUGGGGGAGCAAACAGGAUUAGAUACCCCGGUAGUCCCUGUCUCUUAUAC
rnacentral:rRNA from 1 species